rnacentral:ncRNA from 2 species
UGUUACUUGUCGGGGCGCCCAGCCCAGUUGAAACAUGACUGGCCGUGGCUGAGAUCGUAAUACGGGUCCCGUUGUACCUGAUCUGGAUAAUGCCAGCGUAGGGAACAAGGUUCCGGGCGCA